rnacentral:rRNA from 1 species
GAUGAACGCUGACAGCAUGCUUAACACAUGCAAGUCGAUGGGGCAGUGGUGCUUGCACCAUGGUAACCAUGGCGGACGGGUGAGUAACGCGUAAGGAACUUACCUGCGGGACCGGGAUAACAGCAGGAAACUGCUGACAAGACCGGAUAAGGUAAUUAAGCUGCAUAGCUUAGUGAUGAAAGGAGACGCCUGCGGAGUGCCUUGCGUCCUAUUAGCUAGUUGGAGGGGUAACGGCCCACCAAGGCGAAGAUAGGUAGCCGGCCUGAGAGGGUGGACGGCCACGAGGGGACUGAGAGGCGGCCCUUACGCCUACGGGAGGCAGCGGUGAGGAAUAAUGGACAAUGGGGGCAACCCUGAUCCAGCAAUUCUGUGUGCACGAAGACGGUUUUCGGAUUGAAAAGUUCUGUCAGCAGGGAAGAAGGAAGUGACGGUACCUGCAGAAGAAGCGACGGCUAAAUACGUG